rnacentral:piRNA from 1 species
GAGUGCCUCGGGACUGUGUAAGAA